rnacentral:rRNA from 1 species
AGCGAACGCUGGCGGCAGGCUUAACACAUGCAAGUCGAACGGGCACUUCGGUGUCAGUGGCAGACGGGUGAGUAACGCGUGGGAACAUACCUCUUGGUUCGGAACAACACAGGGAAACUUGUGCUAAUACCGGAUAAGCCCUUACGGGGAAAGAUUUAUCGCCGAGAGAUUGGCCCGCGUCUGAUUAGCUAGUUGGUGUGGUAAAAGCGCACCAAGGCGACGAUCAGUAGCUGGCUGAGAGGAUGAUCAGCCACAUUGGGACUGAGACACGGCCCAAACUCCUACGGGAGGCAGCAGUGGGGAAUAUUGGACAAUGGGCGAAAGCCUGAUCCAGCAAUGCCGCGUGAGUGAAGAAGGCC